rnacentral:lncRNA from 1 species
GGUAUAUAAAACAUCACAUUUCCCAGAUUUUGUAGUGCUGAAUUUGGUUUUCAGUUGAUCAUGUAAGUGAUUAUGUGAGUCACUAACAAGAGUCUUAUGGGAAAUGUACAUCAGGUAACAUAUGCCCUUCAUACCCCUUAUGUAUUCACAGGAAAAUGCUUUCGAUAGCAGUCAUAUGUACUAGCUUUCCAUCGACCGUAGUAUUCACCUAUGUGUCAAUUAGAUAGGGUUGGUUCUUCGUUUUUUUGUGUGUUUUCACUUCAUCAUACUGAAUCUUGAUUUAAAAUUCACAAAUCAGAUUUUCAGUCAUAUGUUUUAGUUCCAAAUGUUCAUUCUGAGGAAUUCCCAGAUUUUGUAAAUACUUUGACGUCUUUUUAUGCAAGUCGAUUUGAAGUUUCCAGAUGCAAUAACAUUGAAAACUGUUUCUCUUUUAGUUUUUUUUUCUCAAGCAUACUUUU